UACGUAGGGGGCAAGCGUUGUCCGGAUUUAUUGGGCGUAAAGCGCGCGCAGGCGGUCCUUUAAGUCUGAUGUGAAAGCCCACGGCUCAACCGUGGAGGGUCAUUGGAAACUGGGGGACUUGAGUGCAGAAGAGGAGAGUGGAAUUCCACGUGUAGCGGUGAAAUGCGUAGAGAUGUGGAGGAACACCAGUGGCGAAGGCGACUCUCUGGUCUGUAACUGACGCUGAGGCGCGAAAGCGUGGGGAGCAAACAGG
rnacentral:rRNA from 1 species